rnacentral:lncRNA from 1 species
UCAAGAAUUCAUAGAAUUGUUUUAAAAUUACAUAGGGAAGCAAAUUGAGUGAAGUAAACAAUUUAUGGAAUUGACUCUUACAUUAGAGGGUGAUCUUACAUUUUGUCUAUGGGAUUAAGUAGGGCUUAAGUUGAAUCAUCGCCCAUAAAUGGGUACCAAUUCAAUGCCAAUUCCUAGUAUCUCUUACAUGAAUUUCAUGGUUGAUUGGAUGAUUAGACUGCUGCUCAUGUAUUUGCUUGUGAAUCCAAAAUACCAUCAGUUGAUUGCAAAGAAUAGAAGCUGAACCUACUUUAACCAACAUGUCUUAAGUCUGUACUUGGUACUAGUAAUAGCAAAACAGAGAAAGGGUGUGUUGAUCAUAAGUGUUAGAUCAGUGGCCUACAGAAAUUCUUGGGGGUAUUGAGUUGCAUAUUCUCUUAAUCUGAUUAUCUCUCACAAUCUCUGACAUUGUCCACCCAAUUAACUAUCUUGGUUGAGGAGGUGGUGGUUGCAUAACAAUAGCGGAUGGUUCAGUUGGAACUGGAGUUUGUGGUAUGACAAUAGGUUUCUCCAUAGAGUAGCGACGAGACCCUCCGAAACUCUCUAUGGAUUUCAUGUAUUCUGACGCAUUGUUUUCUAUGAUAAAAGCAUCCUCGAGUUCACGAACAAUGUCAGCCAUGCAUGGGCGAUAAGCUGAGUAAGGCUCAAUACAUGCCAAAGCUACCUCCACCACUCUCCACAUUGCUUCAGCAUGGUAUCCUCCCUUUAUGUUAGGGUCCACAAUUUCUUCGAUUCUUGAGUUCCUUAUAUGGGGCUUGGCCUAUAUUCAAGAAAAGUUGCUUGUAUGGUCAAACAUGAAUAACUUUAAUAAAUAUACAAUGACUUAAUUGAGAGAGAGAGGAGUAAGAAGUGUAACAUUAAGCUCUUUUGCUUUAAAAUUUACGAAAAAGUAUUGUUGAUAAGUCUUCAUCAAGGUCAUGAUUUACCUAGCAAAGAUCUAGUUAAGGACCAAUUUAUAUGUUUUGUGUUCAAAUUUCUUCAUUACAAGUAAAAUAAUAUUUAUUUUCUUCUGCUGGUGAUUGAACAAAGUAAUCCUCCAGAUACACUUUCCUUUUCAGCCUAUUAGAUUUUUGGGAGUUUCUUGCACAUCUACUUGCUUCAAUUUUUGCUCAUUAAGUGUGUGUUCUGUCAAAUCAGAACAUUGUAUAUGCCUCCAUACAAAUGCAGUUCUUUUUGUCUUGCUCUCCGAAUGGGGAUGUAAGUUCGUUUGUUAGAAAAGCAGGUAUGUGUGGGUGCAUUGUGCAGAAUUUUAAGACUUUAGGUUGCAAUGAGCAAUGAGCAAUUGAUAAUGAUUAAUAUAAACUAAUCUUUUGAGCAUUUGACAUCUUCAUUUGGUUGACUUCAUCCUUUUUUGUUCAAGAGACUUGGCUAAUGUUUGGCUUAUAAAUUAUUUAUAAACACUUAAGCCACUUUUUCUCCACACAUUUCGAGGGAUCCACAAGUACUAACUUGUCUGCCAAUUAUUUCUAUCCAUUUAUAAUUUAAGCAGUUUAUAAACACUUUCCAAACAUUCUUUUAAUCAUUUGUGAUAAAUGAUUAAAAUAAUUAACAUGUGUCUCUAGGACCAAGUACUUUUAUCUAAUCAUUGCAAGUGUCCUUCAUGAAGAGUCUCAAAAUCAUAUUGCUGAAAUUAUCAGCACUCAUUAAAGGGCAUUGGUGGAGUGGAACGCCAAUGAAUCCUCCUUCCAAUUCUUAUCCUCUAACUUAAGCUGGCUCCAAAAUUACUGUAAAACAUUGUAACAUUUUUAAUAGCAUUAUAUUAUUUUAUUGUUCCCGAGUCCUACCUCCACCCUGGUCACACAAUACUGUAAGGUGCAUACAGAGACAAAGUGCUAUGCACUCCUGGUGGUUACAAUGUGUCGAUUAGAUUUAGAUCUUGCACCAUGAUCAUUGCCUAUUUUGGAAAGUAAAGACAUGAAGAUUUUGGUUGGCAUCAUUUUUAUUCUUUGUUGGGAAAAAAAUGGCAACUAGACGCUUUUUUUCGUAUUAAUGGUUAUCAUGGCACACGUAUCAUAUGAUAUUCUUAGAAUGGUAUCAGCGGUAUCAGCAUUUCAUUGAAGAACUUAGGCCUUGUUUGAUUCCAAUUCUUCUCAAAAUACAUGUUUCUCUCUCUUUUUUUCAACCUCACAGUAGUCAUUAAAAUAAUAUUGCACAUAAAUAAAAAACUUUUCCUUAUUUUUCAACUAUACAUUUCCCAACAAUCUAUUAUUCUAAAAUGCAUUUUUUCAUAAAAAUGGGGCUCAAACACCCUUUUAAUGUCAAUGGUCAAGAAUUCAUAGAAUUGUUUUAAAAUUACAUAGGGAAGCAAAUUGAGUGAAGUAAACAAUUUAUGGAAUUGACUCUUACAUUAGAGGGUGAUCUUACAUUUUGUCUAUGGGAUUAAGUAGGGCUUAAGUUGAAUCAUCGCCCAUAAAUGGGUACCAAUUCAAUGCCAAUUCCUAGUAUCUCUUACAUGAAUUUCAUGGUUGAUUGGAUGAUUAGACUGCUGCUCAUGUAUUUGCUUGUGAAUCCAAAAUACCAUCAGUUGAUUGCAAAGAAUAGAAGCUGAACCUACUUUAACCAACAUGUCUUAAGUCUGUACUUGGUACUAGUAAUAGCAAAACAGAGAAAGGGUGUGUUGAUCAUAAGUGUUAGAUCAGUGGCCUACAGAAAUUCUUGGGGGUAUUGAGUUGCAUAUUCUCUUAAUCUGAUUAUCUCUCACAAUCUCUGACAUUGUCCACCCAAUUAACUAUCUUGGUUGAGGAGGUGGUGGUUGCAUAACAAUAGCGGAUGGUUCAGUUGGAACUGGAGUUUGUGGUAUGACAAUAGGUUUCUCCAUAGAGUAGCGACGAGACCCUCCGAAACUCUCUAUGGAUUUCAUGUAUUCUGACGCAUUGUUUUCUAUGAUAAAAGCAUCCUCGAGUUCACG